rnacentral:rRNA from 1 species
GAUGAACGCUGGCGGCGUGCCUAAUACAUGCAAGUCGAGCGAACAGACGAGGAGCUUGCUCCUCUGACGUUAGCGGCGGACGGGUGAGUAACACGUGGAUAACCUACCUAUAAGACUGGGAUAACUUCGGGAAACCGGAGCUAAUACCGGAUAAUAUAUUGAACCGCAUGGUUCAAUAGUGAAAGACGGUUUUGCUGUCACUUAUAGAUGGAUCCGCGCCGCAUUAGCUAGUUGGUAAGGUAACGGCUUACCAAGGCAACGAUGCGUAGCCGACCUGAGAGGGUGAUCGGCCAAACUGGAACUGAGACACGGUCCAGACUCCUACGGGAGGCAGCAGUAGGGAAUCUUCCGCAAUGGGCGAAAGCUUGACGGAGCAACGCCGCGUGAGUGAUGAAGGUCUUCGGAUCGUAAAACUCUGUUAUUAGGGAAGAACAAAUGUGUAAGUAACUAUGCACGUCUUGACGGUACCUAAUCAGAAAGCCACGGCUAACUACGU